UUGCAGGUACAGUUACAAUAUAACUGAAGUGUUUUAUUGUCACUUCCCCUGCUGAAAGCAUUUGAUACAUUACUGUCUCUGCCUAGCUCUACCACAGUAUUAGCUGGAGAUUUACAAAAU
rnacentral:snoRNA from 1 species